UUUUUUUUUUUUUAAUUUUUUUUAUUUAUUUAUGAUAGUCACAUAGAGAGAGAGAGAGAGAGAGAGAGAGAGAGAGGCAGAGACACAGGCAGAGGGAGAAGCAGGCUCCAUGCACCGGGAGCCCGACGUGGGAUUCGAUCCCGGGUCUCCAGGAUCGCGCCCUGGGCCAAAGGCAGGCGCCAAACCGCUGCGCCACCCAGGGAUCCCAAAGACAAUGUUUUAUAUCUCAUUAAUGCCACAAAUUAUCUGAGCCUUGACAAUUUCCUGUUUUGAUUUAGAACAUCAAGCCACUCUUGCCAUAAGUUAACACUACAAAAUUCACAAAAACUUAAAAGAACAAUGACAGUCUCUGAAGGACCAUCCUAAGUGCUUUUAUACAUUAUACCCUCUUGUCAGAAUGUUUAAUAUACUGAGAAGAAUCCUUUCCAAGUCACAAGUUUCCAUUCACAAAACACUGAAAAGCAUGAACAGAAUCAACUGCCAUUCAGUUUUUAUCAACCUGCCUUUUCACUUUUUAUUCUCUUGAAUCAGACAUCCAGGCCAAGACUAUGGUUCUCAAACCUCACACUCCUCCUGCUCCAUCUUCAGGCCCAUGAUGUGCCCUGCCAGGCCACAUGGGAGCAUGAGGCAAGAGGAAAAAUCAGUAAUAACGAUUCUGUCUUUAUUACAAAUAUUGAUGCUUUGUUCAUCAUAGAUUUCUUUGCGCUUUUUUUUUUUUAAGAAAUUCUGCACUAAAAUAUUAUUUCUCUUGAUUACUUAAAUUAUGGACCUGAGAAAGGUAAUUACCUCUAUCACAUCACCCGAGGCCUGGCCCUGGGCCACAGUAAUAACACCACACCCUUCAUGAACCAAGGAAAAUGAGUAAACACCCAGGCUUCAUUAACUACCCUAAAGACUGGACAACAGCGGCCUUAAGGCCCAGGUACUAGGGGUGCAUAUGUUCCAAAUGGAUCCAUGGAUGUGGAGUGGGGGAAGGCAAUGGGAUGAAAACCACAGGUUAGGGCACUGUUACAUUCUGUAGAACAAUUAUCUUACUUCAUGUUGCAUUAAAAUAGUUGCCAAAUUAACUAGAAUUUUUCAUUGUCUUAUGCAUCCAGCGCCGUUAGUUUUUCCUUAUAGACCCACCUUGCAUCGUCAAUACCUCCUUGUAGGUAAACUCUGCUCUUCUCACCCUUAUAAUAUGAUAGUUUUACCUGUAUGUGAACUUCUUGAACACAGAAUCCUAUGGAGUAUACUUCCUUGUCUGGUCUCUUCACCUUAAUGUUUUAUCUGUAACAUUCAUCUGUUUGUUGCAUGUCAAUAAUUCAUUCCUUUUUAAAUUGUUGAGUAGUAUUCCAUUGUAUGGAAAAAGCACGAUUUUGUUAAUAGAUAUCUGGGUUUCUCCACCUGGGGGCUGACAUGAGUAAAGCUGCUACUAAGAAGACAGCACACGUUUCUGUUGAAUAUAUGUCCAGGAGUGAAUCUUGGGAUCAUAAUGUAUAUGGUCAGCUUUAGGGAAUAUUGCCAAUCUUCCAAGUGGUUGUUGUUUGUGUAUGAUGCAUGAGGCUUCCACCUGGUCCACAUCUUCCCCAGUGGUAAGUAUUGCUAAUUGCUUAUUUGAUCCAUUGUGAUGGGGCUGCAGAAGUCACCUUGGCUAAAAUAAGCAAUUUCUAACUCCCUCCAAUUUUACCAUGACUCCACAGCUCCAAUAGUACAAAAUGUAAAACCUCAAGUUACAAACAUAAGAUUCUCAAGAAAGUGCAGUAAAAUCUUUAAUUCUGAGCUCACUAAUUUCAGAAAUUCAUUAAAUACAGACACCCCUGAGAUAAGCACACAUGAUACUUGGCACAGAAACCUGCAAAUGUUUCUGAAGGCCGCAAGAAUCCUCACAGUCAACAUGUUACUAUGAUUACAGGCUAAGCCAGCAUCUCCUGAUACAAUUCUACAAAUAUUUGCAUGCCAACUAAGUAUAAAUAAACCCAAAGAAUAUUUUAGCUGUUAUCUUAUUUGACCUAUCACAGCAGAGAGGCCCCAUGAACCUCAUUCCUCCCUGCAGGAACACUCUCUUCCCCCAGCACUUCUCAUCUCCUCCGGCGACCUCUGGGAGUUCUCCUUCACAUGACAUUACUGCUGUCUAUUCGGGGAUGGUCCCGACACCCUCCCCUCACACACAGAUCUCCCUUCUAAGCCUCAGGCCCAGAUGUUCCAUUGCCCUAAACGCCUCCACUAGGAAAUCUCACAAACACAUCAAACCCAGGACAUCCAAAACAGGAUCCUGCAUAUCCUAACCCUUGUACAACUGAGUUAUCACAAUUGAUUGAAGCAACUCAAAAAUCUCAGCCUCAUCCUUGAGGCCAGCCCUCCCUAACUUUACCACCAUCUCUUCAAAGAGCAAGCCACAUCUCCUCAAGGUCGCCCAAAGGAAUCCACUUUAUCCAGACUAUCACUGGCCACCCAGCCGCAGCCAUCACCCCCUCUCAUGUGUAGCCAAGCCAGAGCUCCAAUGAAGGUCUGUCAUUCCGGUGGUUGGUAGGGCUUGGGACCACACACCUGCCUGAGCAUGCUUGAGGAGGGAAGAUGGCCGCGUCCCCUCAUGACACCUGGGCCCUGCCAUGGUCUUCUCUUCAGUCUCCAUACUGCAUCCCUGCUCUGCCCUACUGAACAAAUGUGCCUGCAACUUCUGAGUCUGUGAGGGAAAUCCUCACAUUUGAUUGUGCUGAAUCCUCUGCCAUGUGGCCUCUUCAAUCAGGAUACCAUAAAGAAUUACCAAAAAGGAUAAAAGGCUGGUGAUAAAAUAGCCAAACUCUCUUCUUUAUUCUUUGUUCUCUUCUAUAGGAGUAUCUUUUCUACUAUCAAGAGACUUAACUAAAAGUUUUUCAAGCUAACAUUCAACAGUUGCUAUGUACUCCUCUUACAAUCUCUUUUAAUACAAACCAUUUUCCUAUCAUCCAAGUACAGCAUAAACACACCUACUGCGUCAGUCAACAGUUCAUAGCCUAUUUUCCCAGUGAUUUGCUUGUCAUACCUUUUAUCUGUUAUAAUAGUAAGAAUGUUCUGCUUGUCUUCUCACACAGAAAGAUAUUUUCUCAAAUACUUCACACCAUACUCCUUCCAACAGAGACUUUGGAAAUGUCAAGUCCCAAGGGAUUUCUCUGAUGCCUUGGGAUCCUUGCGAGUGAACCAUUUCUCCUCAAAGCUAAAGAAGGGAAGUUCAUUGCCAGGUGAGCAAAAUCUGCAGCCACAUCACUCCCUCAAGUCAUGGGGGCUCUUCCUGUGAGGACCAUAAGGACAAAGGGCAACACAUACCCCUGGGGCAUGGCACAGGGGACAUGCUCUGAAAUUAUUUGUGGAUGAACACGUCAUAAGGAGUUCAAAACAAUAAUAAUGGCUAACACAAAAUGUUUACUGUGAGCCACACAUACACAUUAACUCACGCAAUCCCUUUAAUAACCAUAUGAGGUUAUCAUACAAGGUAAUGAUUCAGAAUUGACUGCUAUAAACAGGAGUUUUUACCAGGUUCAACACCUCUAACCCUGGGAAAGCAUCCAUCUUAAAGGGGGAAAAAAAGAACAUGGCUUUAAACCUAUCAAUAGCAUGCUACAGUUUAUCCCUACAAAUUGGUAAAUCUGAAGGAUUUUAUUUUUUAACAAGUGAAUGGAAUAAGUCUAUGUCCCACUUAAGCAUGUAAAGCAAAACUGUACAAUUUCCAAAGGAUCCAUCCUUUCUUUUUUUUUCUUUUUUUUUUUUUUUUUUUUUUUUUUAGGAUCCAUCCUUUCAUUUAAAAACAUCUUCUAGAUGCAAAGGUUGAAAUGGAAUACCCACCGUCUGGAUGACACUGUUUUCUUCCCUACUACCAAAGCCAGUAAACCAAUUGUCUCAAAAAUUCUGCGUCCAACUGGAACACUCACAGACACAACACCAGUGACUCAUGUGUGUAACAAAUUGCUCAUUUUCCUUCUCCCCAUCUUCCCUCAAAAUCAUUAGGUUGCUAUUCCUGAAUCAUACGUUUGGUUUUUUGUUGGUUGGUUCAUAUUUUUAAUCCCUUGGCACAAAGUUCAUCAAUUCCAACCAUGUACCAUGACAAGAAUCUGCCUGACACUUGAGUUUA
rnacentral:lncRNA from 1 species